AGCAGCGGACUGGUGAGUAAUGUAUGGGGAUCUGCCUGAUGGCGGGGGCUAACUCCUGUACACGGUAGCUAAUCCCGCAUACCAUCAGAUGACCCCAUCUGGGAUUAGCUAGUAGUUAAGGUAACGGCUUACCUAGGCGACGAUCCCUAGCUGGUCUGAGAGGAUGCUAAGCCACACUGUGACUGAGACACGGCCAAGAAGCAGACGGGAGGCAGAAGGGGGGAAUAUUGCAAAAGGGGCGAAAGAAUGAUUCAGCCAUGCCGCGUGUAGGAAGAAGGCCGUCGGGUUGGAAAGUAAUGUCAGUAGGGAGGCGUUACCGAAAGAAGAAGCACCGGAUAACUCCGGGCCAGCAGACGAGGGAAGUC
rnacentral:rRNA from 1 species